GACGGAGGAUGCAAGCGUUAUCCGGAAUUAUUGGGCGUAAAGCGUCCGCAGGUGGACAUACAAGUCUGCUGUCAAAGUGCAGAGCUUAACUGUGGGCUUGCGGUCGAUACGGGCAUCACUGGAGUUCGGUAGGGGAGACUGGAAUUCCUGGUGUAGCGGUGAAAUGCGCAGAUAUCAGGAGGAACACCGGUGGCGAAGGCGGGUCUCUGGGCCGAUACUGACGCUGAGGGGCGAAAGCGUGGGGAGCGAACAGG
rnacentral:rRNA from 1 species